AUGUCUUCAUCCGGCGCCUCCCAACCUAGCCUCAACGGCCAGGUCACCGAGAAGCUCAACCGCACGAAUUAUGUGCUCUGGCGCACGCAGGUCACACCCCACCUGUGGGGCGCCGGUGUCUUCGGCUACGUCGACGGCACCUCGCCGGAACCGGCCAGACUCCACAUCACCAAGGACAAAGACGGCAAGGAGACUUCUGCGCCUAACCCUCUCCACCCUCUUUGGGUCAGGGAGGACCAACAAGUGCCCAGCUACCUACUGAGUACUCUCUCCAAGGAGGUCCUGGUCGCGGUCACCGCGAUCACCACGUCGCGUGAACUGUGGGUGGCAUUGGCGGGCAUGUUCUCGUCCCACUCCCUCAGCCGCGUCAACAACAUCCGCACUGCGCUCAUCAACGCGCAGAAGGGCAACCAGUCGGUCGCCGCCUACUUCGCCUCCCUGCGUGGCCUUGCUGAUGAACUCGCCGCCGCCGGAAAACCCAUCCAGGAUGACGAGUUGAUCUCGUACAUCCUCCAU
rnacentral:rRNA from 1 species